UGAUGAGCCAUGCCGCGUGUGUGAAGAAGGCCUUCGGGUUGUAAAGCACUUUCAGUCGUGAGGAAGGUAGUGUAGUUAAUAGCUGCAUUAUUUGACGUUAGCGACAGAAGAAGCACCGGCUAACUCCGUGCCAGCAGCCGCGGUAAUACGGAGGGUGCGAGCGUUAAUCGGAAUUACUGGGCGUAAAGCGCAUGCAGGUGGUUUGUUAAGUCAGAUGUGAAAGCCCGGGGCUCAACCUCGGAAUAGCAUUUGAAACUGGCAGACUAGAGUACUGUAGAGGGGGGUAGAAUUUCAGGUGUAGCGGUGAAAUGCGUAGAGAUCUGAAGGAAUACCGGUGGCGAAGGCGGCCCCCUGGACAGAUACUGACACUCAGAUGCGAAAGCGUGGGGAGCAAACAGGAUUAGAUACCCUGGUAGUCCACGCCGUAAACGAUGUCUACUUGGAGGUUGUGGCCUUGAGCCGUGGCUUUCGGAGCUAACGCGUUAAGUAGACCGCCUGGGGAGUACGGUCGCAAGAUUAAAACUCAAAUGAAUUGACGGGGGCCCGCACAAGCGGUGGAGCAUGUGGUUUAAUUCGAUGCAACGCGAAGAACCUUACCUACUCUUGACAUCCAGAGAACUUUCCAGAGAUGGAUUGGUGCCUUCGGGAACUCUGAGACAGGUGCUGCAUGGCUGUCGUCAGCUCGUGUUGUGAAAUGUUGGGUUAAGUCCCGCAACGAGCGCAACCCUUAUCCUUGUUUGCCAGCGAGUAAUGUCGGGAACUCCAGGGAGACUGCCGGUGAUAAACCGGAGGAAGGUGGGGACGACGUCAAGUCAUCAUGGCCCUUACGAGUAGGGCUACACACGUGCUACAAUGGCGCAUACAGAGGGCAGCAAGCUAGCGAUAGUGAGCGAAUCCCAAAAAGUGCGUCGUAGUCCGGAUUGGAGUCUGCAACUCGACUCCAUGAAGUCGGAAUCGCUAGUAAUCGUGGAUCAGAAUGCCACGGUGAAUACGUUCCCGGGCCUUGUACACACCGCCCGUCACACCAUGGGGAGUGGGCUGCAAAAGAAGUAGGUAGUUUAACCUUCGGGAGGACGCUUACCACUUUGUGGUUCAUGACUGGGGUGAAUCGCUAAACCAGGGGAACCA
rnacentral:rRNA from 1 species